rnacentral:rRNA from 1 species
UUCCGGUUGAUCCUGCCGGAGGCCAUUGCUAUUGGGAUCCGAUUUAGCCAUGCUAGUUGUACGAGUUGAGACUCGUAGCGAAUAGCUCAGUAACACGUGGCCAAUCUACCCUUCGGAGCGCGAUAACCUCGGGAAACUGAGGCUAAUAGCGCAUCUCACACCCCAACUGGAACUGUGGCGUGUGUCAAAUGCUCAGGCGCCGAAGGAUGAGGCUGCGGCCGAUUAGGUAGACGGUGGGGUAACGGCCCACCGUGCCGAUAAUCGGUACGGGUCAUGAGAGUGAGAACCCGGAGACGGAAUUUGAGACAAGAUUCCGGGCCCUACGGGGCGCAGCAGGCGCGAAACCUUUACACUGCACGCCAGUGCGAUAAGGGGAUCCCAAGUGCGUAGGCAUAGAGCCUACGCUUUUGUGAACCGUUAGGUAGGUUCACGAAUA